UACGUAGGUGACCAGCGCUGUCCGGAUUUACUGGGCGUAAAGGGUGCGUAGGCGGGGUUUUAAGUCAGGGGUGAAAUCCUGGAGCUCAACUCCAGAACUGCCUUUGAUACUGAGGAUCUUGAGUACGGGAGAGGUGAGUGGAACUGCGAGUGUAGAGGUGAAAUUCGUAGAUAUUCGCAAGAACACCAGUGGCGAAGGCGGCUCACUGGCCCGUUACUGACGCUGAGGCACGAAAGCGUGGGGAGCAAACAGG
rnacentral:rRNA from 1 species